UCGCUUCCUCAGCCCAUUUGCUAAAAUUGGAACAAUACAGAGAUGAGUGCGGCCUCUGUGCAAGGAUGACACACAAAUUUGUGAAGCAUUCCAUAAAAAA
ensembl:snRNA U6 U6 spliceosomal RNA